rnacentral:rRNA from 1 species
AUAAGUAAUGUGAAUUGCAGAAUUCAGUGAAUCAUCGAAUCUUUGAACGCACCUUGCGCUCCUUGGUAUUCCGAGGAGCAUGCCUGUUUGAGUGUCA